AUGCAAAGGAGUGCAUCGGUGAUCUUGCUGAGAAGCGUGAGGACGGACGGACGGCGCUGUGCGGACACGACCGAAUCAAUCGGGUUGUGAAACCAAACC